rnacentral:lncRNA from 1 species
GACUAAACCCAAAUAACCAGAUCUAAAUUAGAAUCCAAUAAGAAAGCAUUUACCCAAGUAGGAAUUAAUUGGUCAAUUAUGGGUUAGAAUCAAACCGGACUCAAACCACUUCUCAAAAACACAUCAAAAAUCAUCAAUUAAAAACAAAAUAAUUCCACAAAAAAAUAAAAAUCUUCUCAACUCCCUCCAGCAUCGUCAGAACAACACACCACAACCUAUCUAACAUACAAUAAACAAUACAAAUUAACAUUAAAUUCAUACAUAUAAACUAAAAUCUAAACAAAUUAACAUAAAUAAGGAAUUGCUCAUUUU